GACGAACGCUGGCGGCGUGCUUAACACAUGCAAGUCGAACGCUGAAGCUCAGCUUUUGUUGGGUGGAUGAGUGGCGAACGGGUGAGUAACACGUGAGUAACCUGCCUCCUUCUUUGGGAUAACGCCCGGAAACGGGUGCUAAUACUGGAUAUUCACUGGUCUUCGCAUGGGGGUUGGUGGAAAGGUCUUUUCUGGUGGGGGCUGGGCUUGCGGCCGAUCAGGUUGUUGGUGGGGUGAUGGCCCACCACGGCUUUGACGGGUGGGCGGCCUGGGGGGGUGCCCGGGCACAUUGGGACCGAGAUACGGCCCAGACUCCUGCGGGGGGCAGCAGGGGGGAAAAUUGCACAAAGGGCUCAAGACUGAGGCAGCGACGCCGCGAGAGGGAUGGAGGCCUGCGUGUUGUGAACCUCUUUCGCUCAUGGUCAAGCCGCAACAAUGGUUGUGGUGAGGGUAGUGGGUAAAGAAGCGCCGGCUAACUACGUG
rnacentral:rRNA from 1 species